rnacentral:rRNA from 1 species
GUAGGGAAUAUUGCACAAUGGAGGAAACUCUGAUGCAGCGACGCCGCGUGAGUGAUGAAGGCCUUCGGGUCGUAAAGCUCUGUCGCAGGGGAAUAACACAAUGAAGGUACCCUGUAAGAAAGGAUCGGCUAACUUCGUGCCAGCAGCCGCGGUAAGACGAGGGAUCCUAGCGUUGUUCGGAAUCAUUGGGCGUAACGCGGAUGUAGGUGGCUAUGUAAGUCAGAUGUGAAAGCCUGGGGCUCAACCCCAGAAGUGCAUUUGAUACUGCGUAGCUUGAGUGUCGGAGAGGUUACUAGAAGUGUUGGUGUAGUGGUGAAAUACGUAGAUAUCAACAGGAAUACCGGAGGCGAAGGCGGGUAACUGGCCGAACACUGACACUGAGAUCCGAAAGCGUGGGGAUCAAACAGGAUUAGAAACCCUAGUAUCC